rnacentral:tRNA from 1 species
GCUCUGGUGGCACAGUGGUUAAGUGCUUGGCUGCUAGCCAAAAGGUCUGUGGUUUGAACCCACCAGGAGCU